rnacentral:lncRNA from 1 species
UAAGUGAUGAUGACGACUUGGCAGACCUAGAAAUUUCUUUUGCCUCUACAAUUGACCUUACAAUGGACGAGGAAAUUAAUUUGGAUUUGGUUGAAGAGUUGGAAAAGAGGAAAAGGAUGAGCAAUGAUGGCCCAAUGCAAUGUAAACGCCAAAAACUAAACUAGUUUUACUACC